rnacentral:rRNA from 1 species
UCGGGAAUUUUCCGCAAUGGGCGAAAGCCUGACGGAGCAACACCGCGUGCAGGAGGACGGCCUUCGGGUUGUAAACUGCUUUUAUCUGUGACGAUUAUGACGGUAGCAGAAGAAUAAGGAUCGGCUAAUUCCGUGCCAGCAGCCGCGGUCAUACGGGAGAUCCGAGCGUUAUCCGGAAUUACUGGGCGUAAAGAGUUGCGUAGGUGGCAUAGUAAGCAGACAGUGAAAUAUCACGGCUCAACCGUGGGUACAUUGCCUGAACUGCUAAGCUUGAGUAUGAGAGAGGUAGAUGGAAUUUCUAGUGUAGGAGUGAAAUCCGUAGAUAUUAGAAGGAACACCGAUGGCGUAGGCAGUCUACUGGCUCAUUACUGACACUAAGGCACGAAAGCGUGGGGAGCGAACGGGAUUAGAUACCCCGGUAGUCC